rnacentral:rRNA from 1 species
AUUUAGUUUAAGAACAACGACGCAUUAACAUACCGAACAUGAAUAGUUAAAAUCUUAAACACCUGUUGUACUUUUGAUUAAAGGGAGACUGGGUUU